rnacentral:rRNA from 1 species
ACUCCUACGGGAGGCAGCAGUGGGGAAUCUUAGACAAUGGGCGCAAGCCUGAUCUAGCCAUGCCGCGUGAGUGAUGAAGGCCUUAGGGUCGUAAAGCUCUUUCGCCAGGGAUGAUAAUGACAGUACCUGGUAAAGAAACCCCGGCUAACUCCGUGCCAGCAGCCGCGGUAAUACGGAGGGGGUUAGCGUUGUUCGGAAUUACUGGGGCGUAAAGCGCGCGUAGGCGGAUUAGUCAGUUAGAGGUGAAAUCCCAGGGCUCAACCCUGGAACUGCCUUUAAUACUGCUAGUCUUGAGUUCGAGAGAGGUGAGUGGAAUUCCGAGUGUAGAGGUGAAAUUCGUAGAUAUUCGGAGGAACACCAGUGGCGAAGGCGGCUCACUGGCUCGAUACUGACGCUGAGGUGCGAAAGUGUGGGGAGCAAACAGGAUUAGAUACCCUGGUAGGAUAGCG